AUGGCUCAGGAUGAACGCUAGCUACAGGCUUAACACAUGCAAGUCGAGGGGAAACGAUAUUGGAAGCUUGCUUCCGGUAGGCGUCGACCGGCGCACGGGUGAGUAACGCGUAUCCAACCUGCCCAUCACUUGGGGAUAACCUUGCGAAAGUAAGACUAAUACCCAAUGAUAUCUCUAGAAGACAUCUGAAGGAGAUUAAAGAUUUAUCGGUGAUGGAUGGGGAUGCGUCUGAUUAGCUUGUUGGCGGGGUAACGGCCCACCAAGGCGACGAUCAGUAGGGGUUCUGAGAGGAAGGUCCCCCACAUUGGAACUGAGACACGGUCCAAACUCCUACGGGAGGCAGCAGUGAGGAAUAUUGGUCAAUGGGCGAGAGCCUGAACCAGCCAAGUAGCGUGCAGGAUGACGGCCCUAUGGGUUGUAAACUGCUUUUAUAAGGGAAUAAAGUGAGAGUCGUGACUCUUUUUGCAUGUACCUUAUGAAUAAGGACCGGCUAAUUCCGUGCCAGCAGCCGCGGUAAUACGGAAGGUCCGGGCGUUAUCCGGAUUUAUUGGGUUUAAAGGGAGCGUAGGCCGGAGAUUAAGCGUGUUGUGAAAUGUAGAUGCUCAACAUCUGCACUGCAGCGCGAACUGGUUUCCUUGAGUACGCACAAAGUGGGCGGAAUUCGUGGUGUAGCGGUGAAAUGCUUAGAUAUCACGAAGAACUCCGAUUGCGAAGGCAGCUCACUGGAGCGCAACUGACGCUGAAGCUCGAAAGUGCGGGUAUCGAACAGGAUUAGAUACCCUGGUAGUCCGCACGGUAAACGAUGGAUGCCCGCUGUUGGUCUGAAUAGGUCAGCGGCCAAGCGA
rnacentral:rRNA from 1 species